UGAGUAGAGUAACGGUCAAAAUUCAAACGGAUAGAAAUUCAAACGCCAGAACGCUCGGAAACACACGCAGUCUUGCUGCAGAGAAAGUUGCCAUUUUCUUUUCCUGUCAUUACACUUCAAGAUUCUUCAAAUUUGUGAACACCCAGAAGCCGAAUUGCUAUGGAAAACGCUGAGUCGGCCUCAUUUGAGCAGAACCCGGAAUUUCAUGUCGCAGACCCAUGUGUUUUCUCGAGUAGUUUUGAUUGGGAAAAGUCAAGAAGUUUGAAUCAGGAAACCGAGAGUUCUGCUAUGGAAGAAGAUGGAAAUGAAGAGUCGUUAGCUGAUUCGAUGGUUUGUGAUUCUGGUUCAAGACUAGUCCCAAGUGGGUUCGCGAAUCCUUGUUGUACAGAGGAAAUUGUGCUUUUUAUUAAUGCUGGUGCCACGGCAUUGAGAGAAUCAGAUUCCGGCAUUAAGUUUCUGGCGGACGAGUUUUUUGAAGGUGGAGAUACAUUUCAAACUGAGGAGUUCAUUGCUGAAGGUGGAGACUUUUCAUUCAUUUAUCAAUCAGCAAGAUUGGGGGAUUUCUGCUACCGCAUUGAGAAUCUCCUGCCUGGGGAUUAUUUUGUCGAUCUUCAUUUUGUAGAAAUUAUAAACACAUAUGGGCCUAAAGGAAUGCGAGUGUUCAAUGUUUUUAUGCAAGAUGAAAAGAUUCUGUCUGAUUUUGAUAUCUUCUCAAUUGUUGGAUCCAACAAACCAUUGCAAUUGGUUGGUGCUAGAGUUUGUGUAAAGGACGAUGGAAGUCUCGCCUUAAGGUUUGAAGGGACACUUGGAAGCCCAGUAGUUAGUGGAAUCUGUAUUAGGAGAGCACCUAAAACUUCAGCCCCUCAGCGGAAUCGUGAAUAUAUUGUAUGUAAGAACUGUUCUGCUGAGACUGAAUACCCUUCAGCUGAGAAAAAAGCUCUGCAAGCGAAAACAAUAGCCAAGUAUGAGAAAAAUAUACAAGAAUUGAAAGAUAUGUUGCAACGGAAGACUGAUGAAUGCUACCAAUCUUGGAUGUCUUGGACUGCUGCUAACGAGCAACUACAGAAGGUUAGGAUGGACCUUGACAAGAAGACAUUCCGAACAUAUUCCCUUGACCAAGCUCUAGAGAAGCAAGCUGACAAGCUUAGGGACAUCUCGAGCAAGUACGAAAAUGACCAGAAGUCCUGGAAAGUAGCCAUCAAUAAUCUAGAGCAGAAAGUAAAGGUGAUGAAACGAGAGCAUGCUCAGCUUUCUCGUGAAGCACAUGAUUGUGCUGACUCCAUCCCCGACCUGAAUAAAAUGGUAUUUGCAGUUCAGGCACUUGUCGAACAGUGUGAAGAUCUCAAAGUGAAGUACAAUGAAGAGCAAGUGAAGAGACGGAAGCUCUUUAAUCAAGUCCAGGAGGCGAAAGGAAAUAUCAGGGUAUUCUGUCGUUGCCGUCCCUUGAGCAAGACGGAGCACGUAGCUGGUUGUGCUUCAGUCGUGGACUUUGAUGCAGCCAAGGACGGAGAACUUGGAGUUCUAAGUAAUGGCUCAACAAAGAAAACUUUCAAGUUUGACCGCGUUUACACGCCAAAAGAUGAUCAAGUUGAUGUUUUUGCCGAUGCCGCACCUAUGGUGAUAUCCGUACUGGACGGAUACAAUGUCUGUAUAUUUGCUUACGGGCAAACAGGAACAGGCAAGACAUUCACAAUGGAGGGAACUGAGGCCAAUCGGGGAGUCAAUUACAGGACAUUGGAAGAAUUGUUCAGAAUUUCAAAAGAGAGGAAGGACACUUGCACGUAUAAUAUUUCAGUUAGUGUUCUUGAAGUCUAUAAUGAACAAAUAAGGGAUUUGCUGGCCACAGAAACAUCCAAGAAGUUGGAGAUAAAGCAAGCUUCCGAAGGAUUUCAUCACAUCCCUGGAAUUGUAGAAGCCAAAGUGGAAAACAUACAACAAGUGUGGAAUGUUCUACAGGCAGGAAGUAGCGCUCGCUCUGUUGGUUCAAAUAAUGUGAACGAGCAUAGUAGUCGAUCUCACUGCAUGCUUUGUAUAAUGGUAAGAGCGAAGAAUUUAAUCACUGGAGACUGCACGAAAAGCAAGCUUUGGCUUGUGGACUUGGCUGGAAGUGAGAGGCUUGCGAAGACCGAUGUGCAAGGUGAUCGGCUGAAAGAAGCUCAGAACAUCAAUAGGUCACUUUCAGCUCUCGGAGAUGUGAUAUCUGCUUUAGCCAAUAAAAGCAGCCAUAUACCAUACAGGAAUUCCAAGCUGACCCAUCUACUGCAGGAUUCAUUAGGUGGUGACUCGAAGACGUUGAUGUUUGUACAAAUUAGUCCCUCGGAUCAAGAUGUGAGCGAGACCCUGAGUUCACUGAACUUUGCAACUCGAGUCAGAGGGGUUGAAUUGGGUCCUGCUAGAAAACAAAUUGAUACGAAUGAGCUCCAGAAGCUGAAAACAAUGCUUGAGAAAGCAAGGCAAGAAUCUAGGUCCAAAGACGAAUCUUUGAAAAAGCUCGAAGAGAACUUACAUAGCCUAGAAAGCAAGGCCAAAGGAAAGGAUCAGGUUUACAAGAACCAAGUGGAUAAGAUAAAAGAGCUAGAGGGCCAACUAGAAUUGAAGACAUCACUCCACUGCCAAUCCGAGAAACAAGUUUUACAUCUUUCUGAGAGGUUAAAAGGAAAGGAAGAAUCUUGUUCCAGACUUCAACAGAAGGUGACGGAUUUAGAGAACAAGCUUAAACAGCAAGAAGAAAUUCAGUCUACAACUUACCAGAAGAAGGUUAACGAACUUGAGAACAAGCUGAGGGAGCAAAUGCAACAGUCUGAGGCUAGUUCUCUAAUCCUUCAACAACAGGUCAGAGAGCUCGAAAGAAAGUUGAAAGAACUCGAAGAAAACCCAGAGUCUCUCUCACAUCGUCAGAAGAUCAAAGAACUUGAAGAUAAAGUGAGAGAGCAAGAAAAGCAGCUAGCCUCCACUAUGACCUCAGAAUCUGCCAUCUCAUUAAGAUCAUCCACCCCUAAUGAAAGCAAGCAAAUGGUCAGGGACGAGACAGCAAACGAGGCUGAGCAUCGUAUUUUAAGAAGUUUGAAUCCAGUAAACCGGCGAGGCAGUCAGGGGUCUGUUCCGGUGAAGGAAUAUGACUCUCUUAACGAGGUCCGAAAGAAGAGACUGUCAAGAAACAGUGAAGUCGAGAACAACUGUGUGGUUCCGACUCCAGCAAGUGACAACAAAUGCAGGCACUCGGAUCCGCCAAAACCCAUUCCUAGAGUUUUGAAAACGACGAAGCCAGUAGCCACGGCAACUCAGAGGCCCGUUAUCCGUAGUAAAACAAGCAGAGAUCCAAUACUGGGGACUAAAGAGAGGGAUAGCAAGAAAAGGAUGUGGUCAAGAUAACGAACUCUCACUUGACUUCAGUUCUUGCUGGAUGGUGAUUCAGAGUUCAGACAUGUAUUGAUAAGACUUAAGUGUGGUAGCAAGCAUUCGGGGAUCAAAGGGGUAGAAGGAAUCCGUGCAUAGCAAUUUGCCAGGGGAUCCGACACUGAGCGGCACCUUACACCUCGGCAGCAUCCUUGAAUUGCGGUUCAUACUCCUAGAUAGGAGCAGUACAUUGGGAAAUUCUUUGGAAGGCUAGUUGUUUGCACCGCGAUGUGCAAUGGAUGCUCUACCAACGCUUGAGAAUCUUAGGCGGAGAGGAGCUGGACUAGAAGUGUGCUGCUCUUGCUGCGGUAAUGAGCCAGAGGACUUAAACCCAUGUCCACUUUCUAUGCACUUGGUCAUGUGCAGUGUGGGCUUUCUCCAAUCUCCCUUGGUCACCUAUUUCCGAGCAGGUUGGUAAAGGGGGUAUCAGGACACAAGUUGAUUCUCAGGAUUUUGGCUUGUGUUU